UGAAUAAAAAAGACGGGUCCGGCAGGUUCCAUAUGUUCUGUUAUCGUCCUCUAAACUUCCUCCCAAGAAUUCGUUGGAGGGGGAGGAGGGCGUUUCUUGGAGCACUUUGCCUCCGGUAGUCCUCCAAGAAUUCGUCUCUUUGGAGGAGGAGGAGGGCAUUUCUUGGAGCACUUUGCCUCCACUCGUCGGCGGAUAGGAUCAAUCCUGUCUUCUUCUGCAGCGGUAUGGCCGCCGUCGGUGACUCCUCUCGACGCGUCUCCUACAGCCGUCCUCGUCUAGGCUGGCUGGCUGGCUGGCGCCGACUUCGAUAUGGCUGCGGCGAUCCGGUACGUUUCCGCUGAGCUUUCGUUUCUUGUUUCGCUGCUUUCGUUCCGGUUCUUGGAGUUCUUGGUGUGAUGACCUUACGCGGUGGGAUCCGGAACCUUUAAUCCGAGAUUUCGUUUCUUGGUUCUUGGAUGUCGCUGCUUUGGUUUCGGUUCUUGGAGUCCUUUUGGUGUGAUCUCAGGCGGAGAUUUCGACCCUUGAGAAGAUUCUGAGAGGUGUCCUUGGAGGAGGGGGGAGGGGCUGGAUUACCCGAUCAUGAAAAUUUGGAAAAGGCUUGUUCUCUUUGCCAUGCUAGCGAAGGCGCUGAAUGCAGUCACUGAGAAAGAACACAUUUUAUCGAUAUGCCAGGAGCAUCCUGAAGGCAGUAUGCGUACACUGUUCGGCAACUGUUAUUUGGAAAAUACCUGGUUUCUUAUCCGUUGGCUGAUAACAGAAGAUGAAGAUAGCCUUCUGGCAGGUGUGUUAGUUUGAUCGGAGUCCUUUGCUGGUGGUACUGGAGAGGCUGCCGGUAAGAUUGGCUUGGAUGCACCAAGCAAGGUAAAGUUU